rnacentral:rRNA from 1 species
GACGAACGCUGGCGGCGUGCUUAACACAUGCAAGUCGAACGAAGAGCGAUGGAAGCUUGCUUCUAUCAAUCUUAGUGGCGCACGGGUGAGUAACGCGUAAUCAACCUGCCCUUCAGAGGGGGACAACAGUUGGAAACGACUGCUAAUACCGCAUACGAUCUAAUCUCGGCAUCGAGGAUAGAUGAAAGGUGGCCUCUACAUGUAAGCUAUCACUGAAGGCGGGGAUUGCGUCUGAUUAGCUAGUUGGAGGGGUAACGGCCCACCAAGGCGAUGAUCAGUAGCCGGUCUGAGAGGAUGAACGGCCACAUUGGGACUGGGACACGGCCCAGACUCCUACGGGAGGCAGCAGUGGGGAAUCUUCCGCAAUGGACGAAAGUCUGACGGAGCAACGCCGCGUGAGUGAUGACGGCCUUCGGGUUGUAAAGCUCUGUUAAUCGGGACGAAAGGCCUUCUUGCGAAUAGUGAGAAGGAUUGACGGUACCGGAAUAGAAAGCCACGGCUAACUACGUG